rnacentral:rRNA from 1 species
GAUGAACUCUAGCUACAGGCUUAACACAUGCAAGUCGAGGGGCAGCAUGGUCUUAUCUUGCUAAGGCCGAUGGCGACCGGCGCACGGGUGAGUAACACGUAUCCAACCUGCCGUCUACUCUUGGACAGCCUUCUGAAAGGAAGAUUAAUACAAGAUGGCAUCAUGAGUCCGCAUGUUCACAUGAUUAAAGGUGUUCCGGUAGACGAUGGGGAUGCGUUCCAUUAGAUAGUAGGCGGGGUAACGGCCCACCUAGUCUUCGAUGGAUAGGGGUUCUGAGAGGAAGGUCCCCCACAUUGGAACUGAGACACAGUCCAAACUCCUACGGGAGGCAGCAGUGAGGAAUAUUGGUCAAUGGGCGAGAGCCUGAACCAGCCAAGUAGCGUGAAGGAUGACUGCCCUAUGGGUUGUAAACUUCUUUUAUAAAGGAAUAAAGUCGGGUAUGCAUACCCGUUUGCAUGUACUUUAUGAAUAAGGAUCGGCUAACUCCGUGCCAGCAGCCGCGGUAAUACGGAGGAUCCGAGCGUUAUCCGGAUUUAUUGGGUUUAAAGGGAGCGUAGAUGGAUGUUUAAGUCAGUUGUGAAAGUUUGCGGCUCAACCGUAAAAUUGCAGUUGAUACUGGAUAUCUUGAGUGCAGUUGAGGCAGGCGGAAUUCGUGGUGUAGCGGUGAAAUGCUUAGAUAUCACGAAGAACUCCGAUUGCGAAGGCAGCCUGCUAAGCUGCAACUGACAUUGAGGCUCGAAAGUGUGGGUAUCAAACAGGAUUAGAUACCCUGGUAGUCCACACGGUAAACGAUGAAUACUCGCUGUUUGCGAUAUACCGGCAAGCGGCCAAGCGAAAGCGUUAAGUAUUCCACUUGGGGAGUACGCCGGCAACGGUGAAACUCAAAGGAAUUGACGGGGGCCCGCACAAGCGGAGGAACAUGUGGUUUAAUUCGAUGAUACGCGAGGAACCUUACCCGGGCUUAAAUUGCAGAUGAAUUACGGUGAAAGCCGUAAGCCGCAAGGCAUCUGUGAAGGUGCUGCAUGGUUGUCGUCAGCUCGUGCCGUGAGGUGUCGGCUUAAGUGCCAUAACGAGCGCAACCCUUGUUGUCAGUUACUAACAGGUCAUGCUGAGGACUCUGACAAGACUGCCAUCGUAAGAUGUAAGGAAGGUGGGGAUGACGUCAAAUCAGCACGGCCCUUACGUCCGGGGCUACACACGUGUUACAAUGGGGGGUACAGAGGGCCGCUACCACGCGAGUGGAUGCCAAUCCCAAAAACCUCUCUCAGUUCGGACUGGAGUCUGCAACCCGACUCCACGAAGCUGGAUUCGCUAGUAAUCGCGCAUCAGCCACGGCGCGGUGAAUACGUUCCCGGGCCUUGCACA